rnacentral:lncRNA from 1 species
UUGAAGUGCAGGCUAUAGAUUUCUGGACAAAUGACAAUUCAAUUGAAAUUAGAAAUUCUUAACCAAAAUGAUUGUUCUUGCUUAGUUGCAUAUGGUAAUUUGUUUAUUUAUUUAUUUGAAUGAAAUGCUAAGAGCACUCUUGUUCUUUAUCUCAUUCAUGUUUGGAAUUGGGGUAUGAUUACUUAGAGGUCGUUUGGUACAUGGGAUUAUCCCAUAUAAAAGGUGGGGUAAAAUAAUUUCAUGGGUUAAAAUAUCUGCAUACGAAGAGGAGUAUAUAUUGUUCAGUUUCUGCUAGCUUGCAUAACUACUACCUAUUCUUUUUCUUGAAGUUGCUAAAGUAUACCAAGUUUGUUUUCUUGCUUAAGUGUCUAGUUUUGAUGCUCCGUUUUUUGACAGUAUUUGAUAGAUAAACACUAGCUUAUUUAAUUCUUUGGCAUAGGCCAGGAAGAUGUUUCUUUGCUUUACAUCUCAAAGACUGUUUCUUUAUGCAUAUUAUGUUUUGUUAGAUGGAUGAUAAGCUAAAUUUUUGUCCUCCUUUUUGUUCAAUUCACAAUAAUUGAAAAAGUUGGUUCUAGGAGCCUAUUUUGGUUUUCUUCUUAAUUUGUACUCAAUAAAUGCAUGCCCCUUGAUUCAUUUAUGUUUAUCUGCACCCUGUUUAAACUUUAUCCUUAACCAGGUCUUUAAUUUUUAUCAUAUUAAAAGCUAGAUAUUUUAUAAAAGGAAGUGAUAAAAAGUUUUGUUUGUUCUUCUCAGACACUUGGUUAGUAUUAAUUUUCUGAAAAUUUGUACCUGAUAGUUGUCAAUUCUUGUUGUCCCAAAUUCCCUGGAGAGUUUAUCAAUUUUUGUCCAGACUUAUUAGCUAUCUGUGUGCCACACCCUUUAUACUGCUGAUUGCUAUCAAUUGGAGCAACCAUUGAAUUUGUAAUUUUUUUCACUACUCUUAGGCAAAAAAAUUGGUGCAUUAUGAUUGAGAUUUUUUCACUUCUCUUAGGCAAAAAAAUGGUGCAUUAUGGUUGAGAAUACUAUCCAAAAUUGAUGAGUAAUUCUUCGAUGUACCCAUAUACAUCUGUUAGACAUGGGUGAGACAAGUCUAAUGAAGGAUACCUGUAAUAUAACUUUUGGUGAGAUCAGAAUUAGAGUUGGUCUUUACACAAGGUGAAAUGUCUAUAUUGAAUGGAAGAGACGUGAGUAUUCAAUAGGCAUUGGACAUCUGACAAAAGAGAUACACAGAUAGAUUUCUUAACUCAUGUCCAGUCAGUUUACUUGUCAUGUCUCCUUGAUCAAAAGGAACUCAGACAGUACAUAACCGUUCAAGGCACACUUUGUUAAUUGAAUGUUGGGGUACAUACUAAAAUUAUACUAUGAUAUGAUUUUUGCUUAGUUCCCAGUAAAGAGAAAAUCUAGUAGUUUUUUUGUGUGCUAUAGUUCUACUCUCUACUUUUUAACAUCUGCUUUUUUGCUCCUUCGAAAUUUUAGUCCAUUAAAUUUAGGUGUAUACUAAUUACUACACAAAUUUCUGCUUAUAAAUAAUAAAUUGAGAUGAUGUCAUCUGAU